UACGGAAGGGGCAAGCGUUGUUCGGAAUCAUUGGGCGUAAAGGGCGCGUAGGUGGUUCUGUAUGUCUACCGUGAAAGCGUACGGCUCAACCGUAUUUUGUCGGUGGAAACUGCAGGACUUGAGGCUGGGAGGGGCUGGUGGAAUUCCCUGUGUAGCGGUGAAAUGCGUAGAGAUGGGGGAGAACACUCGUGGCGAAGGCGGCCAGCUAGACCAGUUCUGACACUGAGGCGCGACAGCGUGGGGGAGCAAACAGG
rnacentral:rRNA from 1 species